UCUUCGGAGAGUUUGAUCCUGGCUCAGGAUGAACGCUGGCGGCGUGCCUAAUACAUGCAAGUCGAGCGAACUGAUUAGAAGCUUGCUUCUAUGACGUUAGCGGCGGACGGG
rnacentral:rRNA from 1 species